rnacentral:rRNA from 1 species
AGAGUUUGAUCAUGGCUCAGGAUGAACGCUAGCGGCAGGCUUAAUACAUGCAAGUCGAGGGGCAGCACGAAUAGCAAUAUUUGGUGGCGACCGGCAAACGGGUGCGGAACACGUACAGAACCUCCCUUCGAGCGGGGGAUAGCCCGGAGAAAUCCGGAUUAAUACCCCAUAGUAAAUUAGAAAGGCAUCUUUUUAAUUUUAAAGAUUUAUCACUUGAAGAUGGCUGUGCGCCUGAUUAGGUAGUUGGCGGGGUAACGGCCCACCAAGCCUUCGAUCAGUAACUGGUGUGAGAGCACGACCAGUCACACGGGCACUGAGACACGGGCCCGACUCCUACGGGAGGCAGCAGUAAGGAAUAUUGGUCAAUGGACGCAAGUCUGAACCAGCCAUGCCGCGUGGAGGAUGAAGGUCCUCUGGAUUGUAAACUUCUUUUAUUUGGGAAGAAAUGUGAAAAUUCUUUUUCACUUGACGGUACCAGAUGAAUAAGCACCGGCUAACUCCGUGCCAGCAGCCGCGGUAAUACGGAGGGUGCAAGCGUUAUCCGGAUUUACUGGGUUUAAAGGGUGCGCAGGCGGAUAUGUAAGUCAGUGGUGAAAUCUUUGGGCUUAACCCGAAAAUUGCCAUUGAUACUAUAUAUCUUGAAUGCUGUGGAGGUAAGCGGAAUAUGUCAUGUAGCGGUGAAAUGCUUAGAGAUGACAUAGAACACCUAUUGCGAAGGCAGCUUACUACGCAGAGAUUGACGCUCAUGCACGAAAGCGUGGGGAUCAAACAGGAUUAGAUACCCUAGUAGUCC